UACAGAAGGGAGCUAGCGUUGUUCGGAAUCACUGGGCGUAAAGCGCACGUAGGCGGAUGUGUCAGUCAGGGGUGAAAUCCCGGAGCUCAACUUCGGAACUGCCUUUGAUACAGCACGUCUUGAGUCCGAUAGAGGUGGGUGGAAUUCCUAGUGUAGAGGUGAAAUUCGUAGAUAUUAGGAAGAACACCGGUGGCGAAGGCGGCCCACUGGAUCGGUACUGACGCUGAGGUGCGAAAGCGUGGGGAGCAAACAGG
rnacentral:rRNA from 1 species